ensembl:lncRNA LINC01766 long intergenic non-protein coding RNA 1766
AGAGAGACAGGCUAGGAGGCGGGGCCUGCCUGGCCGCCAUGGUCCAGUCACUCCACGCUUGCAGAGUCCAAUUAACAAGAGCAAGUUCUGGUAGAAAGAAGGUGACUUUAUUCCAGAGCUCAGGUGUUUGAACUGAUGUCUGAUGAGGAUGAAUCCAGCGACUACCUCUGCCUGUCCAUCCUGGGCCUCUUCUGUUGCCUUCCCCUAGCCAUCCCAGCCGUGAUCUUUUCUUGCCUGGUGGGCACCUGCAUCAUGCCAAUCCUUCACCCUCCCUCUCCAUCUUGCCCCUGACCCUGACUCAACUUCUUCCUUGUUCUCCCUUCUGAACUAGGAGCCUGAGCAACACCAGCACCUCCUGUGGGUUCAGACCCCCACCCUGAGUCCUUACAGUUCCACAGCCCACCCUCACCCAACAACUGUUUUUUUUUUUUUUGAAACAGAGUCUCGCUCUGUCACCCAAGCUGGAGUGCAGUGGUGAGAUCUCAGCUCACCGCAACCUCCAUCUCGCAGGUUCAAACAAUUAUCCUGCCUCAGCUUCCUGAGUAGCUGGGAUUAGAGGCGCCCACCAACACGCCUGGCUAAUUUUCGUAUUUUUGGUGGAGCUGGGUUUCACCAUGUUGGCCAGGCUGGUCUUGAACACCUGACCUCAGGUGAUCUGCCCACCUCAGCUUCCCAAAGUGCUGGGAUUACAGGCAUGAGCCACCAUGCCCGGCCACGCAAUAACUCUUUUAUACUCAUCUUUCCCUGUUCCCUCUCUCCUAAAACUCAGACAAAGUUUGUAUUGUAGACAAAGAACUACAAUAAAUCCAGUGACUAUGAGCUGGCAGCCAAGACCUCCAAACAAGCCUACUACUGGGCCAUCGCGAGCAUCACUGUGGGAAUCUUAGGUACCAUCUUGUACACCUACCUGAUAUACUUACUUAGAUUGUAAACUGCUUCCCAGCUCUUGAACAAACCACCAAAUAUACACCACAGUGCAAUU